GGGUGAAUUCUGCCCAAUGGUUGUAUAGUGAAACUAAGGACUAACGUCUAAAGCGAAACCCAACUGAAUGGCCGCGGUAACUCUGACCGUGAUAAUGUAGCACAAUAAAUAGCCAAUUAAUUGUUGGCGGGUAUGAAUGGAACCACGAGGGUCUUACUGUCUCAAGAGGAAAGCCGAUGAAAUUAUAGUUGUAGUGAAGAUACUACAUAAACAUUGUAAGACGAAAAGACCCUAUCGAGCUUUACUGGAUACCGAUAGCGUUAACUUAAAAUGAUCGAUACUAAGUAUCCUAAUUUUGAGUUAAUAAUUUUUGUUGGUAGGACAGUUUAGUUGGGGCGACUACCUUUGAAUAAGAAACGAAGGCGAGCUUAUGGUAUACAAAGCUAAUCUCAUUAGCCUGACAGUGAGGGGGACACCCCUAGCUGGCACAAGGACUACGUCCUAUGUGGGCGAUAAUGACCCGAUAUGAUUGUCCAAAAUAAAUAUCGAAAGCGGAUAAAAGCUACCGUAGGGAUAACAGCGUAA
rnacentral:rRNA from 1 species